rnacentral:lncRNA from 1 species
CCCCCGCCCCCUCGCCCCCCCCUGCAGACGCUGUUUUUUACCUUUUGUAGCUUCUUUGUAAAAGGAAUAAAAAGCAACGGCGGUGUCGGGCCGGCCCUGCCUGCACGGGGUCACCCCCAAAAUCCCCAAAAUGAGCCCAAAAUCUGCCCCCAGAAUCCCCGAAGUGAGCCCCAAAUCCCUGUCACCGAAAUCUCCAAAAUGAGCCCGAAAUCUGCCUCCAAAAUCCCCGAAAUGAGCCCAAAAUCCCUGUCACCGAAAUCCCCGAAAAGAGCCCCAAAUCUGCCCCCAAAAUCCCCAAAAUGAGCCCCAAAUCCUGGCCCCCAGAAUCUCCAAAGUGAGCCCCAAAUCUGCCCCCAAAUCUGCCCCCAAAAUGAGCCCCAAAUCCCUGUCACCAAAAUCCCCGAAAUGAGCCCCAAAUCUGCCCCCAAAAUCCCCGAAGUGAGCCCCAAAUCCCUGUCACCGAAAUCCCCGAAAUGAGCCCCAAAUCCCUGUCACCGAAAUCCCCGAAAUGAGCCCCAAAUCCCUGUCACCGAAAUCCCUGAAAUGAGCCCCAAAUCUGCCCCCAAAAUCCCUGAAAUGACCCCAAAUCUGCCCCCAAAAUCCCCGAAAUGACCCCAAAUCCCAGCUGAUCCAGAAGUGGCCCGAGGUGGAAAUGGGAGUUUUUAUUUUGGGGAGGGGGGAUUUGAGAUCCUCCCCCCCGCCCACCGCCAGCGUAAAACACUGAACGGCAAAAGGAGAGGGAAAAACAUUGAAAAAAAGGAAAAAAGGGAAAAAAAGGGAAAAAAGGAAACGAAAGGCCCCAAAGGGGGCGGGGCUGGGUCCGUGUCCAUGUGGAGAAGGAUCCAGGUGUGACAGCGGGGUCCAGGUGUGUCCCCAGGUGACGCCCUGGGUAUCCCCAGGGGUGUCCCAGGUGUGUCCCCAGGUGUCACAGCAGGAUCCAGAUGUUCCCAGGGGUGUCCCCAGGUGUCACAGCAGGAUCCAGGUGUUCCCAGGUGUCCCCCCCAGGUGUCCCCAGGUGUCACAGCAGGAUCCAGGUGUUCCCAGGGAUGUCCCCAGGUGUCCCCGGGUGUCCCAGCAGGAUCCAGGUGUUCCCAGAUGUUCCCAGGGGUGUCCCAGGGGUGUCCCCAGGUGUCACAGCAGGAUCCAGGUGUUCCCAGAUGUUCCCAGGAGUGUCCCCAGGUGUCCCCAGGUGUCACAGCACGAUCCAGGUGUAGCGCUCGUUGUCCGCCAGAACCUUCAGGGAACAGCCUGGGGGGGAGGGGAGGGGAAAAGCAGCGAUGGGGGAGGGGCAGGGAGACCCCAGACCCAGGCACGACCCCCAGAAAAUCACCCAGGACCCU